rnacentral:rRNA from 1 species
UAGGGAAUCUUCCGCAAUGGACGAAAGUCUGACGGAGCAACGCCGCGUGAGUGAAGAAGGUUUUCGGAUCGUAAAACUCUGUUGUAAGGGAAGAACAAGUACGUUAGUAACUGAACGUACCUUGACGGUACCUUACCAGAAAGCCACGGCUAACUACGUGCCAGCAGCCGCGGUAAUACGUAGGUGGCAAGCGUUAUCCGGAAUUAUUGGGCGUAAAGCGCGCGUAGGCGGUCUCUUAAGUCUGAUGUGAAAGCCCCCGGCUCAACCGGGGAGGGUCAUUGGAAACUGGGAGACUUGAGUGCAGAAGAGGAGAGUGGAAUUCCAUGUGUAGCGGUGAAAUGCGCAGAGAUAUGGAGGAACACCAGUGGCGAAGGCGGCUCUCUGGUCUGUAACUGACGCUGGGGUGCGAAAGCGUGGGGAUCAAACAGG